AGACAGACAUAGAGGCCAGAAAAUGGUGGCACACACACCUUUAAUCCUAUCAUUUGGGAGGCAGAGAUUCAUCUGGAUCUCUGUGAGUUUAAAGCCAUACUGGAAACAGCCAGGCGUGGUGACUCAUGCCUUUAAUCCCAGGAAGUGGUGGCAGAAAGCAGAAAGGUAUAUAAGGUGUGAGGACCAGGAACUAGAGCUGGUUAAGCUUUUAGGCUUUUGAGCAGCAGUUUAGCUGAUAUUCAUUCUGGAUGAGAACUCAGAGGCUUCCAGUCUGAGGAAACAGGAUCAGCUGAGGAACUGGUGAGGUGAGGUGGCUGUGGCUUGUUCUGCUUCUCUGAUCUCCAGAAUUCACCCCAAUACCUGGCUUUAGAUUUGAUUAUAUUAAUAAGACCUUUUAAGAUUCGUGCUACAUCUGGCACCCAACGUUCCAUGGUAAGAAUUCACAAAAAAAGCUGCUUGUCUGUGGCCUUUAGGGAUCCAGCUCAGACCUAAGUGGUAGUGGUGUAUGCCUUUAAUCCCAGCACUAGGGAGGCAGAGGCAGGAGGAUCCCGAGUUUGAGGCCAGCCUAGGAAGCUUGCUAAGAGAAGCUUCGGCCAGGGCCCAGCCACAAAUGGUGGCGGUGGGACCAUGGAGGCAGCGGCUGCUGCUCCAAGUUGCUGGCUCCCUCUCAUUGUGUUGGUGACUGCGGUGAUGCUGCUACCUGGGAUGAAGGGUUUCUUGUUGCUUGUUCAGAGAAGAAUUGCCAGGACCAUUGUGUUACAAGAAAGCAUUGGCAAAGGUCAGUUUAGAAAAGUUUGGCAAGACAAAUGGUGGGGAAAAAUUGCUGUGAAGAUUUUCUCUUCUAGGGAAGAAUAUUCAUGGUUCCGAGAGAUAGACAUUUAUCAGAUUGUGAUUGCUCCAAACCACAGAGGAGUCACAAAAAAAAAAUCUGCAGGGAACCAUGAGCACGCCUAACAGCAACUUUGAAAUCUGCAAAAGGAUGACAAGACCCCACAAAGAUGUUUCCACAUGGACUAUGAUAAAGCCAUUAAGCUGAUUAACACCACAGAAAGAUCAACUUUGGGCUACAAACUACUCAGGACAAUUUUGAGAUGGCUAGCUCAGAUGAUCCAGCCUGACAGACUACUCGAACAAGGACUUGUGACAAGCCCUGUACUUUCCCGUUAUGCAGAGACUGGACAAAUGAUACAGGACUUGACUAUUAACCCCCAAAUUUUCUUUUCAGGAUCCUGUAAAGAUGUCUUCACUCCCAGAAACAGGAAGUAAUUUUAAGAAAACAACGCCCACAUUCCCAAGAGAUCGGAAGGAAAAUGCACCCUAAUUGUGGAUGGCACUGUCUGGUGACCGCCCAGAUAAAAGUACAUGGAAGAAACAAACAGCACUGUUCACCUGCUUGUCCUCACUCUCCCUGGCAAGUUCAUCAGUGUCCUUGCUGUGGCAUUCCUUCAUCAACAUUAGAACCAACUUCUCUGGGAUUUCAAGACAGACUGGAGACCAAUAGCCCUCUAGGAAUUGUCCAGGCCUCAGCACUACAUUGGAACUGUUGAGACUUCCCACCUCACUUGUGAGCUGAACAGCUGCUGGAUUCUCAGCCUCUCCAGUGUGAGAUAGUCAUUGUUUUACUACCCAUAUGGCAUUGCCAAUAUAAUAAUCAUAUAUGUAUAUAUGUGUGUAUGUAUAUAUAAUAGUUCUGUUCCUUUAGAGAACCCUGACUAAUACAAUGACUUAUGAAGGUUUGAUGUUUCUUGAACUCCUAAUUUUUUCCAUUAAAUCAUAUAUGACUGUUUGAUGCUGUGGGAUCUAGAACACCUUAAGUCCUUUAUUCUUUCCUUUAAAAAAUAUGUAUGAGUAUUUUGUCUGUAUGUAUGUCCAUUGUACUUGUUUGCAUUGCCUGUGUGCGCAGUGUCUAUAGAGACCAGAAGAGGGCAUCAGAUUCCCAUGUAACUGGAGUUAGACAGUUCUGUGUUGGUGUAUGGGUGCGGGGAACUGAACCCACGUCCUCUAUCAGAGCAGCAAGUGCUUUUAAACUGCUGAGCCAUCUCUCCAGGCUCAGCAUCUUCAGUGUUUUAAAUAAUCAGUAUUUUAAUUUUAUAAUUGUCCAUGCUGAACAUGCUGCUUUACAUAAAUUUGUAUUUGAAAAAGGCAGAAAAAUCUGUAGGCUUACAGAUUUUCAGAAAUAUUUCAAGACUGUUGUUUAAAUAUAAUUUAAUAUCAUGUACAAAUGACAUUUUAAAAUCUCUUAAUAAAUCAUGCAAUUUAAAUAUUUUUUACACAAAUAUUUUAAUCACGCAUACCAAUACCUCAUAGUUCUUCAAACACCAUACCUCUAAAUUAUUUUUGUUUCAAUUAAGACUUCUUUUUAAGACCAUUUUGUAGCUAGAGUUUUUCUCUUCAGGUCCCGCCAAGCCCCGGCAAUCCCAUAGCCCACUUAUAAAAUAAACAUACAGAUGCUUAUAUUAUUUAAACUGCUUGCCCAUUAGCUCAGGCCUACCACUGUCUAGCUCUUAUUCUUAUACUCAGCCCAUUUCUGUUAAUCUAUAUGUCGCCAUGUGUUCUGUGGCUUUACCUGCUGCCUUUACAUGAUGCUCCCUGGACGGCAGGCUGGCAUCUCCUCCUCUCCGCCUUCCUGUUCUUUCAAUUCUUCUCUCUGCUAGUCCUGCCUAUACUUCAUGCCUGGCUCCUGGCCAAUCAGUGUUUUAUUUAUCAAUCAAUCAUCCACAGCACCAUUUCUUAAAUUUUCAUACAUGAAUAUGUUGUAUGUUGGAAAGCUCUAGUUCCUUUUUAACUUUUUAAUUAGCAUGCAAUAAAAUUCAUAAUAAUGAAUUUCAUUGUGACAAUGUCAUACAUAAAAAUCACACUCACUACGCACUUACUACUUCUUGUUCUUUUUUCACUGAUCCAUCCCUCUUCCCAACUAGUUGCCCUCCACAUUAAUGCAUUUUGUGGUAUGACUCGGUGAACUUAAAUAGGGUUACUUACAUUUGCAUGGAUUUAUGGGCAUAUAGACAAUUUGACAGUGGCCAUAUCAGUAAAGAAAAAUGUUUCUUUCUCUCCCACACCUUAAACUAAGGAAAGGAUGAGGCCUUGUGAGCCUCUCACCCUUCCAUCCAGAAACAUGUUCCAAUUCUGUCCUAACUCCAGGUCAAAAUUUAUGUAGUGAUUUUUUUUAAAUGAAAAUCCAUUCAGUGUCAGAGAUAGUGCUGGCUCUGACAAGCACACACUGGUCAGGUAGUGUUCUUAAAUCAUUAAUUCAGUUUAUAGGUUCCCUAUGCAAAUGACAAAGGAAUUGGUUAUCCAGGCUACACUCCUGCCACACCUUACAAAGUGUCUGUCUCCCUCUAUUAUGGUAUCUCUUUCACUGCUCUCCCAUUCCAUCCCUGUUCCAGGUCAACCAUCCCAUUCCCUUAUGUUCUCAUUCCCCAUCCCCUACCCUCUAUUGCUCCCCCUCAACCCCAGUUUGCUCAUGGAGAUCUCAUCUACUUCCCCUUCCCAGGGAAAUCCCUACAUCCCUUUUAGGGUCCUCCUUGUACCUAGCUUCUCUGGAGCUGUGGGUUGUAGUCUGAUUAUCCUUUGCUUUACUUCUAGUAUCCACUUAUGAGUGAGUACAUACCAUGUUUGUCUGUUUGAGGGGCCCCUGACAGUGGGAAUAAGAUCUAUCCCUGGUGCAUGAACUGGCUUUUUGGAGCCCAUUGUCUAUGGUGGGACACCUUGUACAGCCUUGAUGCAGGGGGAGGGGCUUGGGCCUGCCUCAGUUCUGAAUGUGCCAAGG